UUCGUUACCUUUUCAGUAUGAACCAUUUUAAAUUAAUUAUAACGCCACUUAUGUAUGAUGGACGUUGAAUAAAUUGCUUAGUGAAAUGGUUCAAGAGGAGGCUAGGCUUAGUUGUAUAUAUGUAUUAAUUUUUUCCAUUAUGUUUAAAGAGUUUGACCUAACGCUGGUAAAAGGUAUCAACUGAGCCAUAAAUGACCACCACCCAUAAUCAUGUAAAU
rnacentral:lncRNA from 1 species